rnacentral:rRNA from 1 species
AGCGUAGGUGGCCUAACAUGUCAACUGUGAAAACCCGGAGCUCAACUCCGGACUUGCAGUUGAAACUGGUAGGCUUGAGGACGGUAGAGGAAGACGGAACUGCCAGUGUAGGGGUAAAAUCCUUAGAUAUUGGCAGGAACGCCGGUGACGAAGGUGGUUUUCUGGGCCGGUUCUGACACUGAUGCUCGAAAGCCAGGGGAGCGAAUGG